rnacentral:rRNA from 1 species
GACGAACGCUGGCGGCGUGCUUAACACAUGCAAGUCGAACGAAGAGCGAUGGAAGCUUGCUUCUAUCAAUCUUAGUGGCGAGCGGGUGAGUAACGCGUAAUCAACCUGCCCUUCAGAGGGGGACAACAGUUGGAAACGACUGCUAAUACCGCAUACGAUCUAAACUCGGCAUCGAGGAUAGAUGAAAGGUGGCCUCUACAUGUAAGCUAUCACUGAAGGAGGGGAUUGCGUCUGAUUAGCUAGUUGGAGGGGUAACGGCCCACCAAGGCGAUGAUCAGUAGCCGGUCUGAGAGGAUGAACGGCCACAUUGGGACUGAGACACGGCCCAGACUCCUACGGGGGGCAGCAGUGGGGAAUCUUCCGCAAUGGACGAAAGUCUGACGGAGCAACGCCGCGUGAGUGAUGACGGCCUUCGGGUUGUAAAGCUCUGUUAAUCGGGACGAAAGGCCUUCUUGCGAAUAGUGAGAAGGAUUGACGGUACCGGAAUAGAAAGCCACAGCUAACUACGUG